AGAGUUUGAUCAUGGCUCAGAUUGAACGCUGGCGGCAUGCCUUACACAUGCAAGUCGAACGGCAGCACGGGGGCAACCCUGGUGGCGAGUGGCGAACGGGUGAGUAACAUAUUGGAACAUACCCUAGAGUGGGGGAUAACGUAGCGAAAGUUACGCUAAUACCGCAUACGAUCUAAGGAUGAAAGUGGGGGGAUCUUCGGACCUCAUGCUCAUGGAGUGGCCGAUGUCCGAUUAGCUAGUUGGCGGGGUAAAGGCUCACCAAGGCGACGAUCAGUAGCUGGUCUGAGAGGACGACCAGCCACACUGGAACUGAGACACGGUCCAGACUCCUACGGGAGGCAGCAGUGGGGAAUUUUGGACAAUGGGGGCAACCCUGAUCCAGCAAUGCCGCGUGAGUGAAGAAGGCCUUCGGGUUGUAAAGCUCUUUUGUCAGGGAAGAAACGGGGUGGCUAAUAUCUGCUCCUAAUGACGGUACCUGAAGAAUAAGCACCGGCUAACUACGUG
rnacentral:rRNA from 1 species